AGGUGUCCGCUGCGAAAUGGGAUGCCCCGGUGCCUAUGCCAUGGCUCCCCCCCGUCCCAUCUAGGAUGGGGCCAUGGCAUAGGCACACCCCGGUCGUCGGGAUUGGUUGGCGGUCCGGCGGUCUCCGACCGCCGGCCGUCGACCGAUCAUCGGUCCGGCGACCACGGUCAGGUGGGUUGGUAGUGCUGUGUUGAUCUUUUUCGAGAGGAGACGGUCGGUUCAUCUCGGAUUUCGAUUUUUCCAACGUAUUUCGAAGGUCAAGCGGGCGCAUGGCUUCGGCUGUGCAUUACCGUGAGAUCGGAGGAUGCUGCGGUGGGUCGAGAUUUGAGUUUUAACCUCUCGGGGGAGCGCAACACUGUCUCUACUUUCUCAUCUGGCCGUUGAUGGAGAUUUUUCGUUAUUCUCCAUCCUGUCCCGUCGGAAAAAUUAUUUUUCAAAAUUGGUCUGGUGGGCUAGUGGUGCUGUGUUGAUCUUUUUCGAGGGGAGAGGGACGGUUCAUCUCGGAUUUCGAUUUUUCCAACGUAUUUCGAAGGUCAAGCGGGCGCAUGGCUUCGGCUGUGCAUUACCGUGAGAUCGGAGGAUGCCGCGGUGGGUUGAGAUUUGAGUUUUAACCUCUCGGGGGAGCGCAACACUGUCUUUACUUACUCGUUUGGCCGUAAAAGUGAUUAUUCAUUAUGCUCCAUAUCAAAACAUCCCGAAAAAAAUGCGGAAGAACUAGCAUGCUUCGGCUUGUGCUAACUUGAUGCAUCCUAAGGUUUGUUGCGGUGGGUUGGGCGUAAUGGAGAAUCGUUUGUUUUUCAAAAAAAUAUUUCCCUGUCCCUUAAAAAAGGUUUUCGUCCCUCGGAUUGUGUGUUUCUUCACAUGAAGCGGUGUUGGUGUGGUCUUGCUUGAUGUUUCCGCAUGCUCAACGGUUCUAGUAAUCGUUGGGUUGUGGUUCGUUCGGUUWGGUCAUCAUCAAAUGUACGCAACUCAUGUGUGAGUGGUGGUUGGAUGGCAUGGGUCUGCAAGCUCCUUGCUCAGCGCAACGAAUUGUAAGCUCUCCAUCCUUUUCAUAGUCUUCCCCAAGCAUGGUCAUUUGCCUUGUGGGUAAGAUCGGUAUCCUGUGCUUUUUACCAAUUGAAUGGAAUUCGACGGUUUUCAUUUCUCUAUUCGCCCGGUUCCCUUUGGGGUGUUGGGUGGACGAUAGGCUGACCUUGUGUUCUAGGUACACCUCGCAUUUUUGUGUGGUUACCAUGGCCCAUGGGGUUAUGCUUGUUCUCUCGGAUGCGGAUCGUUAGUUGUGGGCGAGGGGUUACGACCUCCAUUCGUCCAAGCUAUUAUGCAUUUGUCAAUCGACACGAACGACUGCCGCACUCGUCUUGGCUUUUACAGUUGAAUGGCUGUACAAUGUCCAUGCGAGUGUCGGUGUCGCGAAGGAAUGC
rnacentral:misc_RNA from 1 species